rnacentral:tRNA from 1 species
GCCUCGGUGGCUCAGUGGUAGAGCGUUUCCUUGGUAAGGAAAAGGCCGCGAGUCCGAUCCUCGCCCGAGGCU